rnacentral:rRNA from 1 species
AAGUAGAUAAGGGCGUGUGGGGAAUGCCUUGGCUCUCAGAGACGAUGAAGGACGUGCUAAGCUGCGAUAAGCUACGGGAAGUUGCACAGAAACUGUGAUCCGUAGAUUUCCGAAUGGGGCAACCCAGCAUAUUGAAGAUAUGUUAUCCUUAGGGAGGUUAACCCGGAGAACUGAAACAUCUAAGUACCCGGAGGAAGAGAAAACAA